UACGAAGGGGGCUAGCGUUGUUCGGAAUUACUGGGCGUAAAGCGCACGUAGGCGGAUAUUAGUCAGGGGUGAAAUCCCGGGGCUCAACCCCGGAACUGCCUUUGAUACUGGGUAUCUCGAGUCCGAGAGAGGUGAGUGGAAUUCCGAGUGUAGAGGUGAAAUUCGUAGAUAUUCGGAGGAACACCAGUGGCGAAGGCGGCUCACUGGCUCGGUACUGACGCUGAGGUGCGAAAGCGUGGGGAGCAAACAGG
rnacentral:rRNA from 1 species